UACGGGGGGAGCAAGCGUUGUUCGGAUUUACUGGGCGUAAAGGGCGCGUAGGCGGCCACCGCAAGUCGACUGUGAAAUCUCCGGGCUUAACCCGGAAAGGUCAGCCGAUACUGCGGGGCUAGAGUGCAGAAGGGGCAACUGGAAUUCUCGGUGUAGCGGUGAAAUGCGUAGAUAUCAGGAAGAACACCCGUGGCGAAGGCGGCUCUCUGGAACGCAACUGACGCUGAGACGCGAAAGCGUGGGGAGCAAACAGG
rnacentral:rRNA from 1 species